rnacentral:rRNA from 1 species
AUUGAACGCUGGCGGAAUGCUUUACACAUGCAAGUCGAACGGCAGCACGGACUUCGGUCUGGUGACGAGUGGCGAACGGGUGAGUAAUGUAUCGGAACGUGCCCAGUCGUGGGGGAUAACGUAGUGAAAAUUACGCUAAUACCGCAUACGAUCUAUGGAUGAAAGCGGGGGAUCGCAAGACCUCGCGCGAUUGGAGCGGCCGAUAUCAGAUUAGGUAGUUGGUGGGGUAAAGGCCCACCAAGCCAACGAUCUGUAGCUGGUCUGAGAGGACGACCAGCCACACUGGAGCUGGGACACGGUCCAGACUCCUACGGGGGGCAGCAGUGGGGAAUUUUGGACAAUGGGCGAAAGCCUGAUCCAGCCAUUCCGCGUGCAGGAUGAAGGCCCUCGGGUUGUAAACUGCUUUUGUACAGAACGAAAAGGUUUCUACUAAUACUAGGAGCUCAUGACGGUACUGUAAGAAUAAGCACCGGCUAACUACGUGCCAGCAGCCGCGGUAA